CAAUAGCGUAUAUUAAAGUUGUUGCAGUUAGAACGCUCGUAGUCGGAUUUCGGGGCGGGCCGACCGGUCUGCCGAUGGGUAUGCACUGGUCGGCGCGUCCUUCCUUCCGGAGACCGUCCCUACUCUUAACUGAGCGGGGGCGGGAGACGGGACUUUUACUUUGAAAAAAUCAGAGUGUUUCAAGCAGGCAGCUCGCUCCUGCAUGGAUUAGCAUGGGAUAAUGAAAUAGGACUUUGGUGCUAUUUUGUUGGUUUCGAACACCGAAGUAAUGAUGAGAAGGGACAGUCAGGGGCACUCGUAUUCCGCCGAGAGAGGUGAAAUUCUCAGACCAGCGGAAGACGAACCACUGCGAAAGCAUUUGCCAGGGAUGUUUUCACUGA
rnacentral:rRNA from 1 species